rnacentral:antisense_RNA from 1 species
CUUGACGGAGCCCAGCCACAGCGGCUCGGCGCGGUCCUGGCCGUAGGUGGCGAGCAGCGCCUGGGCCUC